GCAACUUCAAGAGAUGCUUAUUUGACUGUGAUGUCAAGGAUGAGUUAUUGGCAGCACGGAAAGAAAUGUUGGAAAAGUAUGACCUAGAAGAUAAUCAAUGGCUAGCAGAAUAAAGGAGAAAUGGGCACUGCCAUAUGGUCGUGAGGCAUUUUAUGCAGAUAUGAAAAGCGUCCAGCAGAAGGAAAGCUUGACUAGUCACCUAAGAAAACAUUUAUCCUUAGAGUAUGACCUUGUGAACUUCUUUGAACAGUUUGAAAGACUAUUAUGUGACCGUCGAUCUGCAGAGCUGGAAGCUGAUGUGAAUGCUAAUCAGAGCACAAAGAAGCCACCUUCCAUGCGAAUAUUACGGCAAGCUGCCAAUGUUUAUACGCCUGCUGCCUUUAAAAUGUUUGAGAGGGAAUUUGAGUUAUACAUAGAUUGCAUGCUAUACAAAUGUUGUGAGAUGGGCACAAUUUCUGAGUAUAGGAUAAAUGCUGAGGACAAGCCAAAAGAUCACUUUGUUAAAUUUGAUUCACUCAAUUCCAUGGUGAAUUGUAGUUGUAAGUCGUUUGAGUUUAUAUGUUGAAGGUACUCGACACAAGGAAUAUCAAGGACCUCCCUGCUCAGUACAUCUUGAAAAGGUGGACGAAGGACGCCAAAUCAGGAUCUUCAAAUGGUGAUUAUGCUUUCUCAUUUGAUGGUGAUUCUGAGUCUGCUCAGAUGAAACGUUACACUCCAUUGUGUCGCAUAUUCAGUAUCGCAGCAGCUAGGGCUACAACCUCUGCAGAAUCAUUUACAUAUAUGGAAAACCAGUCAAGCAUACUGAUGGAUCAAGUAGAGCAAGUUAUUCAAACCAGCCCCCCUGACAUAGCUGCUCUUAUUGGUGCUUAUUGUGAUCGAACUCAAAAUUCAGUUGACAAUAUUGCCACCGGAGGCAUACACAGUCAUGCUAAUUUUAUUAAUGGCUCUGCUGAUGGUUCUCUAACUUUUCCGUUCACAUUGAGUGCUGGUACAUUGGAUUACCGCUAACAGGCGUCGAGUGACAUACCUGGAUUUUGUACUAAUUUGUUGGUGAUUACACAUUAAUUUCGGAGCCGCAAAAAACUGUUGGCGAAGUACGCACAGGUCCAUGGCAGGCCUGAUAUUGUUUCUGCCAUAGCCAUUCGCCCGAAGAAAGUUGGCAUUCUUUCCCCUUCGCGAGCAUUACUUGUAUAUACUAGCUAGGAAAAAUCUUUCAUGAUAUGGAAUAAGCAGCCAGCUGCGUUGGUCGUGGCCUCGUUUAACAGCCUCGUGGUUGCACAACUUGUUCCCGUAAUUUCAGGGUCUUCCUAUGUUGCCAGUUUGGUAAGGUGAUGAUUCCUGCUGAGAGCUGCCGAUAACUUACCAAUAAUUCUGGUUCCUGCCAGUUGGGACUUAAACUAGUCUGAGCUGUUGCAUUUUUCACCCGUGUUGUACAUGCUGCUUCAGUAGCUUAUUUGUCACAUACUCACAUUUGUAUAAUGUAUAUAAUGUAUGGAGUGAAUGGUUGCAGCAUCAGAACAUCAGUAAUUUCACAUUUGCUAGUGACUAGUAGUUACGAGAUUUUUGACCAAUUUGGAGCCUGCCAUGGCAUCGGUAAAUGCCAAAGCUUGGCAAUUCAUAUU